GGACCUUUUGAACCUCCAGGACCUUGUAUAGCGGCACUAUGAACCUUCCAGGACCUUUAUGAACCUUCCAGGACCUUUAUAGGGCCACUAUGAACCUUCCAGGACCUUUAUGAACCUUCCAGGACCUUUAUAGGGCGACUAUGAACCUUCCAGGACCUUUAUAGGGUCACUAUGAACCUUCCAGGACCUUUAUGAACCUUCCAGAACCCUUAUAGGGCCACUAUGAAGCUUCCGGGACCUUUAUAGGGUCACUAUGAACCUUCCAGGACCUUUAUGAACCUUCCAGGACCUUUAUAGGGCAACUAUCAACCUUCCAGGACCCUCCCAACCCACUCUAUAUCCCAUCCAACUCACUCUAUUCCCUUCCAGGACCCUCCCAACGUCCGUUUUCCCCUUCCAGGACCCUUCCAACCCACUCUAUGUCCCUCUCAACCCACACUAUUCCCUUCCAGGACCCUUCCAAUCCAUCUUAUGCCCUUCCAGGACCCUCCCAUCCCACUCUAUUCCCUUCCAGGACCCUCCCAACCCACUCUACACCCUCCCAACCCAUUCUAUGUCCCUUCCAGGACCCAUCCUAUACCCUCCCAACUCCCAUCCUAUCCCCUUCCAAGACCCUUCCAACCCACUCUACACCCUCCCAACCCACUCUAAGCCCUUUCAACCCACUCUAUUCCCUUCCAGGACCCUCCCAACCCAUCCUAUACCCUUCCAGGACCCCUCCAUCCCACUCUAUUCCCUUCCAGGACCCUCCCAACCCACUCUAUAUCCCAUCCAACCCACUCUAUUCCCUUCCAGGACCCUCCCAACCCCCUCUAUCCCCUUCCAGGACCCAUCCUUUCCCCUUCCAUGUCCCUCUAUGUCCCUUCCAGGACCCAUCCUUUCCCCUUCCAGGACCUUAUGCACAUUAAUGGCAGGCAAUGCGCUCUGUAGGGCUGUAGCCGUUGCCUUGAUGUGGAUGUGGGGCAGCCCAACCCAUCCCAUACCCCCUCUAUGUCCCUUCCAGGACCCAUCCUUUCCCCUUCCAGGACCUUAUGCACAUUGAUGGCAGGCAAUGCG
rnacentral:lncRNA from 1 species